ACGGGGCCCGCACAAGCGGUGGAGCAUGUGGUUAAUUCGACGCAACGCGAAGAACCUUACCAGGGCUUGACAUCCCCUGACCGCGUAUGAAAGUACGUUUUCACCCUCGGGUGACAGGGAGACAGGUGGUGCAUGGUUGUCGUCAGCUCGUGUCGUGAGAUGUUGGGUUAAGUCCCGCAACGAGCGCAACCCCUACGUUUAGUUGCUAACGCGUGAAGGCGAGCACUCUAGACGAACUGCCGUUGACAAAACGGAGGAAGGUGGGAUGACGUCAAAUCAUCAUGCCCCUUAUGUUCUGGGCUACACACGUGCUACAAUGGCCGGUACAGACGGACGCAAAGCCGCGAGGCGGAGCAAAUCCGAAAAAGCCGGUCUCAGUUCGGAUUGCAGGCUGCAAUUCGCCUGCAUGAGGUCGGAAUCGCUAGUAAUCGCAGGUCAGCAUACUGCGGUGAAUACGUUCCCGGGCCUU
rnacentral:rRNA from 1 species